rnacentral:rRNA from 1 species
UACGUAGGGCGCAAGCGUUAUCCGGAAUUAUUGGGCGUAAAGGGCGCGUAGGCGGUGCGGUAAGUCUGUAGUGAAAUCUCUGGGCUCAACUCAGAGUCUGCUGCAGAAACUACCAUUCUUGAGUGUCGGAGAGGAAAGCGGAAUUCCUGGUGUAGAGGUGAAAUUCGUAGAUAUCAGGAGGAACACCAGUGGCGAAGGCGGCUUUCUGGACGAUAACUGACGCUGAGACGCGAAAGCGUGGGGAGCAAACAGG